rnacentral:rRNA from 1 species
UACGGAGGGAGCUAGCGUUGUUCGGAUUUACUGGGCGUAAAGGGCGCGUAGGCGGCGUGUUAAGUCAGCUGUGAAAUCUCCAAGCUUAACUUGGAACGGUCAGCUGAUACUGAUGUGCUAGAGUGCAGAAGGGGCAAUCGGAAUUCUUGGUGUAGCGGUGAAAUGCGUAGAUAUCAAGAGGAACACCUGAGGUGAAGACGGGUUGCUGGGCUGACACUGACGCUGAGGCGCGAAAGCUAGGGGAGCAAACGGG